rnacentral:lncRNA from 1 species
GGCCAACCACACCUAAAACUUAAAAGUUAUAGUAGUUUUUUUGUUUGAUUUCAAAAGUCAUUGUGAAAUCAAACAUGGGAUAACCUAUACAAUACGUUGGGAUAAAUUAUCGGCUAAACAGAAGCAAAUGGAUUUGGCAGAUUCGUAACCUUGAGUUUGUGCAUAAGGCCAACCACACCUAAAACUUAAAAGUUAUAGUAGUUUUUUUUUUGGUUUCAAAAGUCAUUGUGAAAUCAAACAUAGGAUAACCUAUACAAUAUGUUGGGAUAAAUUAUCGGCUAAACAGAAGCAAAUGGAUUUGGCAGAUUCGUAACCUUGAGUGUGGGCAUAAGGCCAACCACACCUAAAACUUAAAUGUUAUAGUAGUUUUUUUUUUUGGUUUCAAAAAUCGUUGUGAAAUCAAACAUGGGAUAACUUAUACAAUAUAUUGGGAUAAAUUAUCGGCUAAACAGAAGCAAAUGGAUUUGGCAGAUUUGUAACCUUGAGUUUGGGCAUAAGGCCAACCACACCUAAAACUUAAAAGUUAUAGUAGUUUUUUUUGUUUGGUUUCAAAAAUCAUUAUGAAAUCAAACAUGGGAUAACCUAUACAAUAUGUUGGGAUAAAUUAUCGGCUAAACAUAAUUAAAUAGAUUUGGCAGAUUUGUAAUCUUGAGUUUGGGUAUAAGGCCAACUACACCUAAAACUUAAAAGUUAUAGUAGUUUUUUUUGUUUGGUUUCGAAAAUCAUUGUGAAAUCAAACAUGGGAUAACCUAUAAAUUUUUACAUGGGAUACCCCCACCCCACCUCACUAUUCUGGUAAAUUUUUACAAUUUUCUUGUUCAAAAUAAUAUAUUUGUCAUUACAGAGAAGGCGAUCAAAUCAAUCUAUGAUAAAUAGAGAAAAGCUGCGGAAACCCCUAGAAAUAUUUGUUGAGAUUGAAGGAAAAAUAAUUUGGUCUAAUAAAGUUGGUGUCUCCAGUCAUGCCGCCGUUUUCACUUAUCAACCAAAAAGAACAUUGACGCCAUCUUCACUUAUCAACCAAAAAGAGCAUUAGCAAUAAAGAUAAGUCAAUCUCAUUGUAUAUCUCUUUAGUUUUUAAUUACUCAAAUUUAUUAAUUAUAUACCUCCUGAAAUAAAUGGGGACCUGGUUGUUAUGUUAUAAAGAAUAAUUUUAGAAAUUUUAUGCGUAUUUAAUCUGUGAACGAUGGUGGAAGAGAAGAGGAAGGUGAGAGGGACGGUAGUGUUAGCGAGGCAAUGAUGGAGGGAGAUGAGGUCGAUGGCAAAAAUGGUGGGGCAGUGGUGGAGUUAAAAUGGAACAUAUCAAUGAAGGGUUUUACGGCAUUGGAGAAAUAACAGUGAUAACGUUUGAAAGUUUUGAUGAGGCGCUGAAUUUCCCUGGCCGCUAGAACUUUAAAAGUAGGGUCACUAGAAUUGCCGCCGGCCAGAGGCGGAUUUAUGUGGAGGGGAGUGGGGUACAUGUACCCAUGCUCCCCUCCCUAGGCUAUGUAUAUACAGUACAAAAUUUUUAGUUAUAUACAUAAAUAUAUUGGUGACCACCCAUGCUCAAUUGAAUACUUUGGUGCAUUGGUGAUUGAGUGCCCCUUCUGUGUCUCUGGUUCAGAGUUUGAAUCCCAUCCCCACAUACUUCUUUUUAAUUAAUUUUUUCUAUUUUAUUUAUUUUCUAAAGUUACUUUUGACUUUUAAUUUAAAAUUUCUAAUUUUUUUCUUUCCUAAAGUUCCUUUUGACUAAAAAUAUCUAACAAAUUCCUAAAACACUAAGACCCCAACCCCACUUCCCUUUUUACUAUCUUUUUUCUUUCCCUUUUCUCUUAGUCAAAUUUUCAAAUCUCUAAAAUAAAUUAGAUGCAACUACUCACUCCCUCUCUCUUCGAAUACCCCAUCUCUCUUCGCGCUCGGUGGAUUCUUCAAGAAUCAAUAGCACAAUUUCUUUUCAUUGGUCUCUGCUUUUAGUUUCUCAAGUAUGCAACUACCCUGUCUCUCUUCUUGCUCUGUUUUUUAAUUUACUCGCUGAAGUUUCUUCUCCUCUUACAAUUUCCCGAAUUUUCUUUUCCCUUUCUGUUCAAUGUUUCAAUCUCUUGCCAAGAUUUUGUCUUGUUGUUGGUUAUUAUUAUUGUUUAUUUCUAAGAUUGGGUUGUUUAAUACUAUUUUUUGGGAGAAUUUGGGAGAGUUAUGGCUUUAAAGUCUUGAAUAUUGGCAGGUUGAUUUGCGCACAUAUUGUGUUUGAGAAAAUGCUUGAUCGAGUUUAGUUAAGUAAGGGCUAUGUGGACUUAAUUUCUGACUAAUUAUUAGUAUUUUAGGCCAAGAUAACAUAAGAUUGAACUCUGUUAAGAACUAUAGUUUGAACUUCUGUUACGAAUUCUCUAAAAAUGAAGUAAUUACUAACAAUCAAAGAAAGAAUCAUACUAUGAAGCCAAUGAAUGAUAAAACUGAUCUAAUAUAGUAAUCGAUUCAUUUGUGUCCCUUAAAUCCAAUUACUCUAUGAUUUGAAUCAUACUAUUCUACUUGAAUUAAGAUAGAUUGAAUAAAAGUAUAAAUGUUUAACUUUGUAGGAACAAUAAUCCUUAAUAUUGAAAUGGACAGAUAUCUUACCAAGCCGAAAAAUGGUGAGCCAAGUUCUAGUACUACUCGGUCAUCCGUGAGUUCACAAAUAGCUCCGGAAGUUCAAAGGAUGACAAAUCCUUCACUGCUUUUAAAUAGUGUAUCCAUGGUCUUAAAAUCCUAGAUACGCCUCUGGCGCCGGCAACUACAAUGGUGGUGGUGUGGUUGGUCUAUCUCUCGCAUCCACGGAGAAAGACGCUUGAUUAAUAAGAGAGAAACCAUGGGUACCUGUGCUUUGAAGGAUCUUAGGGAAAAAAGGCUUCAUAUGGUUUUAAUGAAGGUGAUGACUGUAAAAAUGGCGAAGGCAGAGAGAUUGCUUUGGGGGGGGGGGGGGAGGGGAGGGAGGAAGGAAGGAGAGAGAAAACACUUAAAAUACAGAAAUCUUGCCUUUUCACGCUCUUAGAGAAAGUGUGGAGCACGCACUUUACCACAUAAGUCAAAUGUGUCUAAUAGGUACAAUUUAAGCAUAGUUUAGAUAUUUG